AACAUCGCGCACCUGCGGGAACCUGCGGAAGGAUCAUUACACAAUACAAUAUGAAGGCUGUCCGCAGCUGGAGUAUUUUAUUACCCUUGUCUUUUGCGCACUUGUUGUUUCCUGGGCGGGUUCGCUCGCCACCAGGACCACCAAAUAAACCUUUUUUAUGCAGUUGCAAUCAGCGUCAGUACAAACAAUGUAAAUCAUUUACAACUUUUAGCAAUGGAUCU
rnacentral:misc_RNA from 1 species